GGUUAAGUAACUAAGCGUAUACGGUGGAUGCCUUGGCAGUCAGAGGCGAUGAAGGACGUGUUAAUCUGCGAAAAGUAUCGGUGAGCUGGUAUAAAGCGUUAAUUAGCCGGUAAUGUCCGAAUGGGGAAACCUGAUGUUUAUAGAUACAUCAUCAUUAAGUGAAUAUAUAGUUUAAUGAAGCAAACCAGAGGAACUGAAACAUCUUAGUACUCUGAGGAAAAGAAAUCAAUUUGAGAUUCUCUUAGUAGUGGCGAGCGAAGAGGGAACAGCCCAGAGUUAUUAUCAAUUUUCAUGUUAGGAGAACAGUUUUGGAAAAGCUGGCAAUAUAGGGUGAUAGCCCCGUAUCUAAAAAUAUGUUAGUUGUGAACUCGAUGAGUAGGACGGGACACGUGGUAUCUUGUCUGAAGAUAGGGGGACCAUCCUCUAAGGCUAAAUACUCCUGACUGACCGAUAGUGAACUAGUACCGUGAGGGAAAGGCGAAAAGAACCCCGGUGAGGGGAGUGAAAUAGAACCUGAAACCGUAUACGUACAAGCAGUGGGAGCACUAGUUGUAUAUUGUGUGACUGCGUACCUUUUGUAUAAUGGGUCAGCGACUUAUAUUUUGUAGCGAGGUUAACUUGUAUAAAUGAGGAAGCCGGAGGGAAACCGAGUCUUAAUUGGGCGUUAAGUUGCAGGAUAUAGACCCGAAACCCGGUGAUCUAACCAUGAACAGGUUGAAGGUUAGGUAAAGCUAAUUGGAGGACCGAACCGACUAAUGUUGAAAAAUUAGCGGAUGAUUUGUGGUUAGGGGUGAAAGGCCAAUCAAACCGGGAGAUAGCUGGUUCUCCCCGAAAGCUAUUUAGGUAGCGUCUUGUAAAUUAAUCUUUAGGGGUAGAGCUCUGUUUCGAAGAGGGAUCCAUUCCAGAUUACCAGUUCGAUGCAAACUACGAAUACUAGAGAAUAUUAUUACAGGAAACACACGGCGGGUGCUAACAUUCGUCGUGGAAAGGGAAACAACCCAGACCGCUAGCUAAGGUCCCGAAGUCAUUGAUUAAGUGGGAAACGAUGUGGGAAGGCAUAGACAGCCAGGAUGUUGGCUUAGAAGCAGCCAUCAUUUAAAGAAAGCGUAAUAGCUCACUGGUCGAGUCGGCCUGCGCGGAAGAUGUAACGGGGCUAAAAUCAUGCACCGAAGCUGCGGCAAUAAAUAAUAUUAUGCAGUAUAGUUUAUUAUUUAUUGGGUAGGGGAGCGUUCUGUAAAUCUGUGAAGGUGUAUUGUGAAAUACACUGGAGGUAUCAGAAGUGCGAAUGCUGACAUAAGUAACGAUAAAGUAGGUGAAAAACCUACUCGCCGAAAAACUAAGGGUUCCUGUCCGACGUUAAUCGGGGCAGGGUGAGUCGACCCCUAAGAUGAGGCCGAAAGGCGUAGUUGAUGGAUAACAGGUUAAUAUUCCUGUACUUGAUGUAACUGCGAGGGGGGGACGGAGAAGGCUAGGUUCGCCAGGUGUUGGUAGUCCUGGUUUAAGCGUGUAGGUGGAAAAAGUAGGAAAAUCCGCUUUUUCAAAAUACAUUGAGACGUGAUGACGAACCAUGUUUGUGGUGAAGGAAUUGAUGCCAUGCUUCCAGGAAAAGCCUCUAAGCUUCAGGUUACAUUAAAUCGUACCUCAAACCGACACAGGUAGUUAGGUAGAGAAUACCAAGGCGCUUGAGAGAACUCAGGUGAAGGAACUAGGCAAAAUGGUGCCGUAACUUUGGGAGAAGGCACGCUGAUAUGUAGGUGAAAGAACUGGCUUCUGGAGCUGAAAUCAGUCGAAGAUGUUGGCUGGCUGCAACUGUUUAUUAAAAACACAGCACUGUGCAAACACGAAAGUGGAAGUAUACGGUGUGACGCCUGCCCGGUGCCGGAAGGUUAAUUGAUGAAGUUAUCCCAUGCUCCCUUUUUAAGGGAGGGUGGGAGAAGCUUUUGAUCGAAGCCUCGGUAAACGGCGGCCGUAACUAUAACGGUCCUAAGGUAGCGAAAUUCCUUGUCGGGUAAGUUCCGACCUGCACGAAUGGCGUAAUGAUGGCCAGGCUGUCUCCACCUGAGACUCAGUGAAAUUGAAUUCGCCGUGAAGAUGCGGCGUACCCGCGGCAAGACGGAAAGACCCCGUGAACCUUUACUAUAGCUUGAUACUGAAUGUUGAAUUUUGAUGUGUAGGAUAGGUGGGAGACUAAGAAGUAUGAACGCUAGUUUGUAUGGAGUCAAUCUUGAAAUACCACCCUUUAAUGUUUGAUGUUCUAACUUUGGUCCGUUAUCCGGAUUGAGGACAGUGUCUGGUGGGUAGUUUGACUGGGGCGGUCUCCUCCUAAAGAGUAACGGAGGAGUACAAAGGUUAGCUAAUCACGGUCGGAUAUCGUGAGGUUAGUGCAAAGGCAUAAGCUAGCUUAACUGCGAGAGUGACAAUUCGAGCAGAUGCGAAAGCAGGUCUUAGUGAUCCGGUGGUUUCUGUAUGGAAAGGCCAUCGCUCAACGGAUAAAAGGUACUCCGGGGAUAACAGGCUAAUACCGCCCAAGAGUUCAUAUCGACGGCGGUGUUUGGCACCUCGAUGUCGGCUCAUCACAUCCUGGGGCUGCAGCAGGUCCCAAGGGUAUGGCUGUUCGCCAUUUAAAGUGGUACGCGAGCUGGGUUUAGAACGUCGUGAGACAGUUCGGUCCCUAUCUGCCGUGGGCGUUGGAAGAUUGAGAGGGGCUGCUCCUAGUACGAGAGGACCGGAGUGGACGUACCUAUGGUGUUCGGGUUGUCAUGCCAAUGGCAUUGCCCGGUAGCUAUGUGCGGAAGAAAUAACCGCUGAAAGCAUCUAAGCGGGAAGUUCGCCUCAAGAUGAAUCUUCCCUGAGAAUUAAAAAUUCUCCUAAAGGGACGUUAAAGACGAUGACGUUGAUAGGUCGGGUGUGUAAGCAUUGUGAGAUGUUGAGCUAACCGAUACUAAUGACCCGUGAGAACUUAACCUU
rfam:Blochmannia endosymbiont of Polyrhachis (Hedomyrma) turneri strain 675, complete genome.